AGAUAGAAGUUACUUCGGUACAUCGGUGACAGGUGGUGCAUGGUUGUCGUCAGCUCGUGUCGUGAGAUGUUGGUUAAGUCCCGCAACGAGCGCAACCCCUAUUGUUAGUUGCCAUCAUUCAGUUGGGCACUCUAGCGAGACUGCCGGUAAUAAACCGGAGGAAGGUGGGGAUGACGUCAAAUCAUCAUGCCCCUUAUGACCUGGGCUACACACGUGCUACAAUGGUUGGUACAACGAGUUGCGAGUCGGUGACGGCGAGCUAAUCUCUUAAAGCCAAUCUCAGUUCGGAUUGUAGGCUGCAACUCGCCUACAUGAAGUCGGAAUCGCUAGUAAUCGCGGAUCAGCACGCCGCGGUGAAUACGUUCCCGGGCCUU
rnacentral:rRNA from 1 species